rnacentral:rRNA from 1 species
AUUGAACGCUGGCGGCAGGCCUAACACAUGCAAGUCGAACGAGUGGCGGACGGGUGAGUAAUGUCUGGGAAAGUGCCCGAUGGCGGGGGAUAACUACUGGAAACGGUAGCUAAUACCGCAUACCAUCAGAUGUGCCCAGAUGGGAUUAGCUUGUUGGUGGGGUAACGGCUCACCAAGGCUACGAUCCCUAGCUGGUCUGAGAGGAUGACCAGCCACAAUGGAACGGAGACACGGUCCAGACUCCGACGGGAGGCAGCAGUGGGGAAUAUUGCACAAUGGGCGCAAGCCUGAUGCAGCCAUGCCGCGUGUAUGAUGAAGGCCUGCGGGUUGUAAAGUACUUUCAGCAGAGAAGCGUUACCCGCAGAAGAAGCACCGGCUAACUCCGGGCCAGCAGCCGCGGUAAUAC